CCCGCUGAGUUUAAGCAUAUCACUAAGCAGAGGAAAAGAAACUAACAAGGAUUUCCCUAGUAGCGGCGAGCAAAACGGAAAGAGCCCAGCUUGGAAAUCGGGGUGUCUCUGCACCCCAAAUUGUAGUCUAGAGAAGGGUCCUCUGCAGCGGACUGGGUUGGAACAGGAUGCCAGAGAGGCUAAGAGCCCCGUCUAGCCCGGACCCUACUGCAUCACGAGGCUCUUUCGGCGAGUCGGGCUAUUUGGGAAUGCAGCCUUAAGUGGGUGGUAAAUUCCAUCCAAGGCUAAAUACUGGUGAGAGACCGAUAGCGCACAAGUACCGCAAGAGAAAGAUGAAAAGGACUUUGAAAAGAGAGUUAAAAAGUGCUUGAAAUUGUUGGGAGGGAAGAGAAUGGAUGCCUUGUGCGCCCCUUGGUUGUGUGUGGAACGGCAAGAGCUGGUCUGCCAAGCAAUGCAAGGGGCUGUCCAGCAUGGGAGGACGCGGCGGGAUAACGGCUUGUGAGCCUCUGGCUCCCUGCCAAUGCCGCCGCUGCCUCUGAAAAUGGCGGGGUGCUCCGGUGCCCUGCCAGAUGCUGGAACUUGGGUGUUCCAUCCGACCCAUCUUGAAACAUGG
rnacentral:ncRNA from 1 species